rnacentral:lncRNA from 1 species
AUCCGUCACCUGACACGGCCCUACCAGGAACAGCCGCGCUCCCGCGGAUUCUGGUGCUGCUCGCGUCCCCGCUCCCCUAUUCCCCUUAUUUUAUUCCUGGCUCCCCUCGUCGAAAGUCUUCCAUUCUUCAAACUAGAUUAUUUAAAAAUGAAAAAGGAAGAAAGGAAAGCGAGGUCAUCUCAUUGCUCUAUCCGCCAAUCAGGAGGCUGAAUGUCAGUUUUGAACUAAAAGCCGCUCCGCUCCUCUUCUAGAUUUGGAAAACAAGCGAAAUUAAACUAAACCGCUGCACGCCUCUGACGCGACAUCUGGACACGGCGCGGCGCUGGCGCUGCCGGAGCUGUCGACCCGGCCUGGCGCCGGACUAGUGUCCCUUUUGAUGAGAAGAAUAAGCCUCAUUCUGAUUCAACAGCAGAGAUCAAAGAAAAGACUUCUGUUUUCUGGCCACCAGAUAUAUGUUAUCUGUGCUUAAAGAAUUGAAAAACACACAUCAAAGGAGAAUUUUCUUGGAAAGAGAGGGUUCAAGCAUCACUGUUAGGUGUGCUGGAAUCCUUUCCCGAGUCAGUACUGCUUUCUAGAAGAAAACCGGGGAGAUCUAUUUGGAAUGUAUCUAACUCCAAAGAAACCAUCAGAGGUAACAGUAGAGACGGGGUUUCACCAUGUUGGCCAGACUGGUCUUGAACUCUCGACCUCGUGAUUCGCCCGCCUCGGCCUCCCAAAGUGCUGGGAUUACAGGUGUGAGACACCACACCCGGCGGAUAGAGAGAAUUUUGACAGAUAUGACACAUUCAUAAUUUAAACAGAAGCCUACGAAGAACUCAUAAAUUAAAAGAAGAUAAUCUUUUCACAAGGUGAUGGAGGCUUUUUAUUUUGCCACAAAACCACUGGUGACGUUGCCUGUGGCCACCUUGGAGAAGACACUGGAGACAGGGUCUCACUCUGUCACCCAGGCUGGAGUGUAUUGGCAUGAUUACAGCUCACUGCAACCUUGAACUCCCAGGCUCAAACCUGAGCAGCUGGGACUACAGAUGCACCACCAUGCAUGGAUGAUUACGGAGCUAGGAAUUUCCUACGAAGCUGGGUGAUAAAAGGACAUUGGACAAAAACACAGAUAGCUUCAUUCUAUACCAGGAUCCAUCACUGAUUAGCUGUAUUAUAUUUGUCUCUACUGUAAUUUGAGGAGAAUGAUACCUGCUUCUCUAUCUUGUUGGGUUUUACAGAUGAUGUAUUGAAAGUUCAAUAAAAUCUAUAAACAAU